AGUGAAUGAUAAGCUUGCUUUGAAUUCAUUUAGCGGCGGACGGGUGAGUAACGCGUGGGCAACCUGCCUUGAUCUGGGGGAUAACACAGAGAAAUUUGUGCUAAUACCGCAUAACGUAUCUCCAAGGCAUCUUGGAGAUAUCAAAGGAGCAAUCCGGAUUAAGAUGGGCCCGCGUCUGAUUAGCUAGUUGGUAGGGUAACGGCCUACCAAGGCGAGGAUCAGUAGCCGAACUGAGAGGUUGAUCGGCCACAUUGGAACUGAGACACGGUCCAGAGACCUACGGGAGGCAGCAGUCCC
rnacentral:misc_RNA from 1 species